ACCGUAGUUUGUCUGAAUAUUUGAUUCUGAUUGGCUAAAAGGUGUGCAUUAAAAUAAUUUGAUUCACUGGUAGAUCCACUCAGUGUAAUUACAAUUAAAGUUAAAUGUGCUGCUGCAAUCACAUACAUGCAAACAAAAUACUUGCACACGAGAUCGGAGAUUAAAAUAAUGUGAACUGUGACAUUUUGCAUUUAUUUUUUUUAAAUAAUUUUUUUAAAACCUCAGUCGCAUUGCUUAACUGCCACUCAUAAAUCCUCUCCUGUGUUCUCAUGGAGUAGUCAAGUGUCCAUUGUGAGCAUACUUCAGAAUCUCAGCAGAAGUACUUUGAUUUUGGAUGCUGCUCUGCUCACAUACUAAUUAAUGAUUAAUGUUUGAAAGUGAAGUGUAAAAUAAAUUAUAUAAAUAUUUUAUUUGACUGGGUAAUUACAGUAAUAUUUCAGUCUUCAUAUAUUAAUAAUUGAAUUAAAAAAAUAAGCAAAAUAAUAAUGUUAUUAUUUAGAUGUUGUUAUUUGUUCAAAUUUACAUGGUUUCCAAAAACACUGUGAAUGGAAACCUAGACAACCAUCACAUCUAAGAUAUAAUGUGUACCAAUAACCGGUUUUGUUUUGUUGUUUUUGUGUAAACAGAUAUUGCAGAUCUGGAGAAAAAUGCAGCACUGCUAAUCUUACCAUGUUUAUUCACAGAAAACAUCAAGUUUCUCUUCUGUCUGGACAAUCAUAUUCACACAGCGCUGUCUCGUGAGUGCAGUGGAUGUUUUUGAAUUCCAACGGUCGAGAAGAGAUUGAUCCCCGUCUGCUGAUUUAAAUUGAUGGUCUGACAGAAAUAUUGUUGUGCGGAUUUACACUAAAACACGAAAGAGCCUGAACCGCGAAAGUGUCACAAGUUGCCUUACAUCCAUAAGUUUUGUUGUGCUUGUUGCAAACUGUUAAAUUAAGUGUUUUCCGAUCCUAAGCUUAGAAAAAAAGAUGCAAGACUUCAAACUUUCCAGUACUCCUGUGAACUGAUAAUCCGGUUUCCACCCAGUCCCAGGAGAUUAUAUUAAACCUGGAAAAUAUUGGAGAAGAUCAAUUAAGUUUUCAGGAGCACAUUACUGUGAUAAAUGCUGAGCUAUGUAAAAGACAACCUGCUACACCAACAUAUCAAAAAUCGAAUGAGGUGCGCUCUUGUUAAAAGAGUUGAUUUAAUGACAAAAUCAACAUGAGAGGUCAUGGACAUGUUCCCAUUUCUUCGGGUUCCACAAAAUCUGCUGCAUGAAGUGAAGAUGCGGUUUGGGAAGGACCUCCAUCUUAAUCUAGAGACUGCUCUUCAGAUAUUGCAGAUCUGGAGAAAAAUGCAGCACUGCUAAUCUUACCAUGUUUAUUCACAGAAAACAUCAAGUUUCUCUUCUGUCUGGACAAUCAUAUUCACACAGCGCUGUCUCGCGAGUGCAGUGGAAGGUUUUGAAUUCCAACGGUCGAGAAGAGAUUGAUCCCCGUCUGCUGAUUUAAAUUGAUGGUCUGACAGAAAUAUUGUUGUGCGGAUUUACACUAAAACACGAAAGAGCCUGAACCGCGACAGUGUCACAAGUUGCCUUACAUCCAUAAGUUUUGUUGUGCUUGUUGCAAACUGUUAAAUUAAGUGUUUUCCGAUCCUAAGCUUAGAAAAAAAGAUGCAAGACUUCAAACUUUCCAGUACUCCUGUGUACUGAUAAUCCGGUUUCCACCCAGUCCCAGGAGAUUAUAUUAAACCUGGAAAAUAUUGGAGAAGAUCAAUUAAGUUUUCAGGAGCACAUUACUGUGAUAAAUGCUGAGCUAUGUAAAAGUCAACCUGCUACACCAACAUAUCAAAAAUCGAAUGAGAUGCGCUCUUGUUAAAAGGGUUGAUUUAAUGACAAAAUCAACAUGAGAGGUCAUGGACAUGUUCCCAUUUCUUCGGGUUCCACAAAUUCUGCUGCAUGAAGUGAAGAUGCGGUUUGGGAAGGACCUUCAUCUCAAUCUACAGACUGCUCUUCAAUUAAAUUAAAUUAAAUUAAAUACAUGCAUUUAGCAGACGCGACUUACUGUGCAUUCAGGCUAUCAAUUUUUUAC